AAAAAAAAAAAGGUUAGACCUUAGGCAUUUCUAUAUAUGUAUUGUAUAUAUAGGGUUGUAUAAAAUGAUCUAGUUCAUUUUAGGUUCGGUUUGGUUUUCCAGUUUUUGAUGAAAAUAAUCAAAAUGAACUGAAUUUCUAUCACCAUACUAACCAAAACGAACCAUUUCAACUGAAAAACUGAUGAUUUUUUUUUCGGUUAAAACUGAAUUCUGUUCAACCCCAAUACUAACCAAAAUGAACCAUUUCAACUGGAG
rnacentral:misc_RNA from 1 species